rnacentral:rRNA from 1 species
CGAGGACGAACGCUGGCGGCGUGCUUAACACAUGCAAGUCGAACGGUAAGGCCCUUCGGGGUACACGAGUGGCGAACGGGUGAGUAACACGUGGGUGAUCUGCCCUGCACUUCGGGAUAAGCCUGGGAAACUGGGUCUAAUACCGGAUAGGACCAUGGACUUCACGGUUUGUGGUGGAAAGCUUUUGCGGUGUGGGAUGGGCCCGCGGCCUAUCAGCUUGUUGGUGGGGUAAUGGCCUACCAAGGCGACGACGGGUAGCCGGCCUGAGAGGGUGUCCGGCCACACUGGGACUGAGAUACGGCCCAGACUCCUACGGGAGGCAGCAGUGGGGAAUAUUGCACAAUGGGCGCAAGCCUGAUGCAGCGACGCCGCGUGAGGGAUGACGGCCUUCGGGUUGUAAACCUCUUUCAAUAGGGACGAAGCGCAAGUGACGGUACCUAUAGAAGAAGCACCGGCCAACUACGUG